CCUGGGGCCUGGGCCCCCUCCGGGCCUGCGGGACCUUCACACACUGUGUUCAGCAAGCAGCUGGAUCUGAGCUGGGGCCGACUCUGGGUGCAGCAGAACACGACAUCCAAGAGAUGCCGGCCACACCAACCAGACAGAGUCCGAGUGGAGGCCACGCUCGAGCACUUCCUCCCGCUUUCCUGUGGCCCACGGAGCCUCGGGGAGAGGUGGAGACGGACACGGACUACACGCACUGGUUGCGCCACUCCCUCCACCUGGGGCUGUGUGAGCUGCCCAGGUUUAACAGUUGGAGACAAAUGGACCUACAAAUAAGCAGAAGGCUGGGACUUCUUUCCCUCUCUUCCACGCUAUCAACAUGAGCCUUCAAGAUGUCCUGGAAGAUUCUGAGACAGAUUUUAAUUUUGAAUACAACUUCCUAAAAA